rnacentral:rRNA from 1 species
CAAGUCGAACGAAACUUCUUUAUCACCGAGUGCUUGCACUCACCGAUAAAGAGUUGAGUGGCGAACGGGUGAGUAACACGUGGGCAACCUGCCCAAAAGAGGGGGAUAACACUUGGAAACAGGUGCUAAUACCGCAUAACCAUAGUUACCGCAUGGUAACUAUGUAAAAGGUGGCUAUGCUACCGCUUUUGGAUGGGCCCGCGGCGCAUUAGCUAGUUGGUGAGGUAAAGGCUUACCAAGGCAAUGAUGCGUAGCCGAACUGAGAGGUUGAUCGGCCACAUUGGGACUGAGACACGGCCCAAACUCCUACGGGAGGCAGCAGUGGGGAAUUUUCCGCAAUGGGCGAAAGCCUGACGGAGCAAGACCGCGUGGGGGAAGAAGGCUCUUGGGUUGUAAACCCCUUUUCUCUGGGAAGAAAGUUGUGAAAGCAACCUGACGGUACCAGAGGAAUCAGCAUCGGCUAACUCCGUGCCAGCAGCCGCGGUAAGACGGAGGAUGCAAGCGUUAUCCGGAAUGAUUGGGCGUAAAGC